rnacentral:rRNA from 1 species
AUAUUGGUAAUGGGCGAAAGCCUGAACUAGCAACGCCGCGUGUGCGAAGAAGGCCUUCGGGUUGUAAAGCACUUUUUGAGAGGAUGAGGAAGGACGGUACUCUCAGAAUAAGUCUCGGCUAACUACGUGCCAGCAGCCGCGGUAACACGUAGGAGGCAAACGUUAUCCGGAUUUACUGGGCGUAAAGCACGUGUAGGUGGUUUGGUAAGUAGGGCGUGAAAGCUCCUGGCUCAACUGGGAGAGGCCGUUCUAAACUGCCGAACUAGAGGAUGGUAGAGGGAGGUGGAAUUCCGGGUGUAGCGGUGGAAUGCGCAGAUAUCCGGAGGAACACCAGUGGCGAAAGCGGCCUCCUGGACCAUUCCUGACACUCAGACGCGAAAGCUAGGGUAGCAAACGG